rnacentral:rRNA from 1 species
CACCGGCAGCUCUAGUGGUAGCUGUUUUUAUUGGGCCUAAAGCGUUCGUAGCCGGUUUGAUAAGUCACUGGUGAAAUCCUGUAGCUUAACUGUGGGAAUUGCUGGUGAUACUGUUGAACUUGAGGUCGGGAGAGGUUAGCGGUACUCCCAGGGUAGAGGUGAAAUUCUGUAAUCCUGGGAGGACCACCUGUGGCGAAGGCGGCUAACUGGAACGAACCUGACGGUGAGGGACGAAAGCCAGGGGCGCGAACCGGAUUAGAUACCCGGGUAGUCCUGGCCGUAAACGAUGCGGACUUGGUGUUGGGAUGGCUUUGAGCCGCUCCGGUGCCGAAGGGAAGCUGUUAAGUCCGCCGCCUGGGAAGUACGGUCGCAAGACUGAAACUUAA